rnacentral:rRNA from 1 species
UACGUAGGGUGCAAGCGUUAAUCGGAAUUACUGGGCGUAAAGCGUGCGCAGGCGGUUUUGUAAGUCUGUCGUGAAAUCCCCGGGCUCAACCUGGGAAUUGCGAUGGAGGCUGCAAGGCUAGAAUCUGGCAGAGGGGGGUAGAAUUCCACGUGUAGCAGUGAAAUGCGUAGAGAUGUGGAGGAACACCGAUGGCGAAGGCAGCCCCCUGGGUCAAGAUUGACGCUCAUGCACGAAAGCGUGGGGAGCAAACAGG